CCGCCCCGCACGGCCCUGCCUGCUCGAUCCCAUCUCCACCUCCAUCCCGCCGCCACCUCCUGCCCCCACACCUCCCGCCCCACACCGCCUCGACCGGGACCGCGUCCCUCCCCAAACGACAGCUCCUGGCCGUCGGAUUUGCUGGCUCCCCGCUCCUCGGGGCCAGCCCCUCCCCGGUGCCGGGUCGAGCAUCGGCUUGGAGGCCCUUGGGGCUGCCGCCGGUGUGGGAGUCCCGCAACGGCCGUGCGGGCUGCGGACCGAGCGGCGGGCCAGCCACCUGUGCCCCGUCCGCCCUGCUGCUGAGCCAUCCUUGUACCGUUGCACACAUCUUCGCACCACCGGCCAGCCUCUGGUGCACACCUCUUCUUUUACUAGCCACGAACCACGAGCAUCACCUGUUUGGUGUUGUGCCUACGAGCGUGUUGGAGAAAUCUGUGUCUAGAGGGUGGUGAAGAUUGAUGCGGAGAGGAAGUCGAUGGCGACAGAGAGCGUGUGUACUCCAGCCUGUUGGAUCUAUCACAGAUGCCUUUGCUUGAUGUACAAUGUCAAAUUCAAGAAGAAAAAAGUGUUUUCUAUUUUCUACUAUAGAUCUGCGUUGUAUGGAGCGGAACAUAACCAACUGGUCUGCAUCUCCUUCAAUGGCACCCUGCAUCUCUAUCAAUAGCACCCUGCAACAAGCUUGCUUUCUCUACAUCUACCAUCAACUACCAUGCAACAAGUUCAGUUUGAUGUUAAGAGGAGGCGUUACAGAAGGGAGAGAUCGAUGAUUUUGGAAUAUAAAGCUUCAUAUGAUUUUUUCCUCCAAGGGCACGCAUCAAAUGUUUGCUGAAUUGCUUGAAGAAAAUGCAUCGGGUCCUUUCUUGCGUCCUUCAAGUCUUCAACCAGAUAGAACAAAGGCCACAAGAGCUGAUUUUGUGCACCUUGCUGCAUGGGCACCCACUUGAUUAAGAUAUUCGAAGUAUUGUCUUUGAGAAUAAUUUGAUGAACCACCAUGUCGCCCUUCAAUCUGGUUCCAUGGGAAAGUAAAUUACAUCGUAUGAGCGAGUCAACAUAGCCUACAUGUUAAGUGGAUGCUAUCACUUUAUCACAACUUUUAUUUAUUACCAUUCAUUCUACCAUUGCUCAACUUUGUUUCAUAAACUGUUCUUGCUAUGUAUGCAGGAUACAUUUCUAGAGCUGAAAUUUCAGGGCAUCAAGAAGUAAUUAACUAUGCUUCAAUUAUUGAGCUGCAGAUAUGGCAUGUGCGUACACGAAGACCUGAUGCAUCAAAGCUCGGUGUGGACACACCUCUUCUUACAGGACAGAUGUUGAUUUAUCAUUUCCUUCGAGCGCCAUUAAAUCCCAGUCUUAUCUAAUUUGAAAUGGCUCUAGCGUGUGUGAUGUAUCGCUCCCCUCAGUUUUUGGAGGAACAUGGUGCUAUUUGGUGCUUUUGGUUGUGGAAAAAAUGUCAUUAGUCAGGCACUUUCUUGUCAUGGAUGUGGGAAAACCUUUGUCUAUAGUAUUUUCUUGGUACCAUCUCUAUACCGUCUAUUCAGUUUGAAAAUAUAUGUGGUACUCCAGUUCUGAAGCUCUGCUUUAUGUGGGAUGUGGGGAAAGAGGAAAUGAGAUGUCUGAUGUUCUCAUA